CAUUACUGGGUUACCAGGGGCUUCGGCCCCGCUCCCAACCCUUUGCAUCUCCGGCCUUGCUUCGGCGCACAGGGUGCGGAGGGCUCCCCCGUUCGCAGGGAGGGCCCGCCGCGCCUGCCGAAUAUUGCCAACUCUGUCUCACAACAUUGAAGUCUGAGAAAAAUGAUUAAUAGCCGAAAAACUUUCAACAACGGAUCUCUUGGUUCUGGCAACGAUGAAGAACGCAGCGAAAUGCGAUAAGUAAUGUGAAUUGCAGAAUUCAGUGAAUCAUCGAAUCUUUGAACGCACAUUGCGCCCCCUGGUAUUCCGGGGGGCACGCCUGUUCGAGCGCCAUUUCAACCCUCAAGCCUAGCUUGGUGAUGGGCCACAUCCCGCAGGGGCGGGCCCGAAACUCAGUAGGGCGCUGUCCGUCGGCUCUGAGCGUAGCAAGAGUAAUCCCUCGCUCCGGAUGUCCGUCGGGUGGCCGCCUCGAAAACCCACGAAAUAUUACAAGGUUGGCCUCGGAUCAGGCGGGGAUACCC
rnacentral:rRNA from 1 species